rnacentral:rRNA from 1 species
CAGCAGCCGCGGGAAUACGGAGGAUCCAAGCGUUAUCCGGAAUCAUUGGGUUUAAAGGGUCCGUAGGCGGUCUUGUAAGUCAGUGGUGAAAGCCCAUCGCUCAACGGUGGAACGGCCAUUGAUACUGCAGGACUUGAAUUAUUGGGAAGUAACUAGAAUAUGUAGUGUAGCGGUGAAAUGCUUAGAGAUUACAUGGAAUACCAAUUGCGAAGGCAGGUUACUACCAAUUGAUUGACGCUGAUGGACGAAAGCGUGGGUAGCGAACAGGAUUAGAUACCCCGGUAGUCCCUGUCUCUUAUAC